UAAUAUUAUAUUGGGAAAAAAAAAUAUCAGGUGGUUUUUGGUUGUUGACCGGGAAAUGUUGUAGUGCCGCGGCGCCCCGUUGAAGUAGUAGGGAAUAUCCAAUGGAAUAUAUGCAAAAAAUUGAGUACAACAAUUUUCCGUUAGCUAAUUGUGAGUGCCACAUAACAAUAAUAAUUAAAAAAACAGAGCUCCCCCUGACAAGUGUUCUUUUCGUCCUUCAAUGCUCGCAGUAGCGACACGCAUGGCACUCUCUGUUCAUAUUUGCCUUUUCCCUAUUACUAUUUUGAAAUUUUUUAAUCUCUCUUUCCUCGUCAUAAUCUACUCAUUUAUUCGUGUUAUCAUUCGUUUCUCACUUUUUGGCGUGAACCGUUCGCCGCAUCCCUAUCCAUGUUUCCACAAAAAGGUUAGUGUUGGCAUUUAAUCACAACCGCACUAGUGUUGCUUUUUUCUUCUUCUUCCUCUUUACUCAUAUGUCAAAUCUCUGCUCUCACUUUAAGAACGAGCUGUGAAUUAAAGUAACCAAAUAAACCUUACUACUGUACCCUGUAAAAACUUUGAUUAAAUCCAAAUUUCAGAGCUUUAAUUUUCUUGAUAAAGAUAAACCCCACAAGUAAGGAUGGAGCUAGAGGGGCAGGAUUCAUCCAAAAUCUUUUUUUUUUUUUUUUUUUAUAUAGUUGAUGAUGAACUUUUUUUUCGGCGAAAAUUCUGACUCCAUUAGGUCACUGUCUACGAGAUAGAAAAAAAAGGAAAAAGACACUUCUCUGCCGUCAAAUUUGUAAAGGGGGUCACAUCAAAAAUAAAAUUAUUGGGUUCACCAUAGAUUUAUAGAUUGCUCAUAAAUUAAAUACCCAAUUCACGUUAGUUUCAGCUUUGACUACCAGAACAAAAGAGUGAAAAAAGGUGAAGACCUCGAUUAUAUAUAUAUAUAUCAUCAUCUUGAGUAAUUAUACAGAACAAGAUGGUGUUUGUUAAUUAGCUAGCAUAGCAAAUCAUAAACUCUGAAACUGAUUAUGCCAAGAAGAACUCAUGAUCUACUAUUUCUCAACUUUCUGUGUUUUACAUAUUCCUAAAAAUUACAAAAAGAACCUCAGGCUUACAGCAAAAAAAUUCAAGUAAAUACACUGAGUUAAUCACACAGCUGAAUCAGUAGGAACUCCGAUGUGAGACGGUUUGUGAUCACCGGCCAUGAUGACGACGAUUCUUGGAGACAUCUCCACAACUGUACUGUUUGACACAGGACAUGCAGAUUUCUGCUGGUCGGACGAGGAAGAAGAAAGACGUUUAUGGAAGGAACAAACAAGGACUAUAAGUGCAACAACAAUGAGAAGUAACAUUAUUCCUAAACUUCCAAAUAGGUAAGGAAGUGGUGAUCUCCAUCUCCAGAAUGAUGAACCCAUUGAUGCUCUAGUUGUAUUUAUAUCUCUCAUUACUCUCUCUUUAAUUUUGAUUCUCUGUUACUCCAGAAAGAGUAUACAAAGCACUAGGCACUGAUGCAGACGAUGGCAAUUUUUAGCUACUUUUAUAGAGCUUUAAGUGAAACAACAUAGAAGGAGGAGAAAGGACGACAUGAUGUUAUCAUUUUGGCUCGAUGAACAACAACCGGAAAACAAUUGCACAUCGGUGAUCAGUUUGACCAAAAAGUAGGGGAUAAAACUAAGUCAUUGGAUUAGUAUAUGUGUUCAUAUACUAAUCCAAUGACUUCAGAAGUUAACUUACAGGUUUUUUUUUAUGUUAUUAGUGUAUUUUAAGUUGUUAUAGUUGAUAAGAUGUUUUUUUUUAAUUACUAAACCACCCCCUUUUAUACAAUAAUCUAUAAAUAUAUUUUAGAUGAUUUAAUAAUGUAAAAAUUAUUCUACAAUAUCUGUAAGAAAGUUUUAAUGCCUACACAAUAAAAUGAGAAUUUAAUUACAAUCCAUGAUAAGUAUUUUUGUCAUCAUCUACUAAUUAUUUAUUUGUUCGGCCAUCUUUUAGUCUCUUUUGCGUGAACGGUUUGCCGCAUCCCAAAAAAGUUAGUACUAGUAGCACUGUACUAUCUUUCCAGCAAUUAGUACAAUACCCGCACGCAACGUGAACUCUUCUAAUUAAUUGACGUUCUCACUCAAAUCUCAUUCAUUCAUCUUCACAUGGUUCGUACUGCAGAAUUGCCUGUAUCGCUGAGGUUCCACAAAAAGAGAAAAACUCCUAUGAAAAUAAUCAAAUAUACAAUUAACACAGAAAUUGCGACGAUUCCCUUUAAUUAAGGCACAUAAGUUAAAACGGAAGGACUAAUACGUUUUGUUAUAAGAAAUUUGAAAAUUAUAUUCUCGAAUCAACACAGAAAUUAAUUAAUUACUCUAAUUAACCUCAUAUAACUCCGAUUUCAUUCACAUGAAGGAGUAUUGUUUUUACAUAUCCCUUAAAACUAUAGAAGAAAAUUACAAAUGAAAUCCCAGGUUCUAAUAGAAACUAUAUCUAGAGCUAGCAAAACUUUUAGAUAAAGGAGGAAGAGAUAAAAAAAAAAUCAGUCAUAAUCAGAAGGUUUAGCAGAUGAAGUAAUUGGAACUCCGAUUUGAGUGGGUUUUUGAUCGCCA